UCACUGGCAGGAAGAAGAAGAAGAAAAGGAUGAACGCUGGAUGAUGUUAAGAGAAAGUUCAGACACUACGAGUCUUUUCUGCGAUGGCCGGAGUCUUGGCUGAGACUUCGACUUGUGUGAUUGACUACAGAAAUCUCCUGUCUUCCCACAGGUGGUUGACUUUCUGUACAACUGAGGUCCCAGCAUGACUUUGUUGAUAAAGUUGACGAUGGCGACAGCUGGCUGCUCGGGGUCCAUCUCUGCAAACAGGUGACAGACAUUUUCUGUGGAACUGCCCGUCCGCCUGGCCACAAAGCCGAACAUCCUGCAGAGAGAAAACAGACAAGAGAAGUCAAACGACUGGAGAGUAAAAGAGUGAUCCCCUGAGAGGACACUUUGAAGUGGACCACCGUCGCCACUGGACGCAGGCUCAGAGCCAAAGUGCACUUGGUUGCCUUGGAAACUGCCUCCGGCCCAGUCAGUGAUUCGGUUUCCACUGAGUUCAGGCCACGUCCAGUUCAGUCUUGCCAAACCACAGCUGGGCUCCGUGCACGGUGCAGGUGUGAAACUGGACUCUGAAGAGCACCUCCCUCUCUGCUGCUUGACUCCGCCGGUGAUAGCACUUCACCUGCAGAGAAGGAGGCAUGUCAAAAUAGGUUGAUGAGGAUUCAGGCUUUAUAAACCUUGCAGUGGAGGACCACUACGUUACUGGGGUCAGAGGUCAGCCAAGUCUCCAUUGCCUUACAGACGGCACAGAUCCUGUCCAAGGGUGGGGCGUGAAGAUCAGGCCAGCCGUAGUCCUGCACCUAUGAAGAAGCAGAGGAAAAUACAGUGAGAUUGUUAAACUUCAUAGAGGCCACUUCCUGGAGGUUCCUGCGGUAGCGCUGUUCCUCCAGGUCUGGCAGGAAGAAGACAGAGAUGAUCCUCUCUGUGAUGUAGAAGAUUGAGUUGGGAGAGAUUGAUCGAGUUUACUGGAGGACGACUUGACAUGUGGCGUGCAGUUCUUCUUCUCUGCUGGUGAGCCAACAGCCAAAACCACAGACACAUGUAAACAGAGAGAGAGAGAGAGGGAGAGGUCAUGCAAACAGACUACAGCCAAUAUGCUACAAAUAGACCUGAUCAGAUUUCUGUGGCUUCCUCUGCUCUGGAUUGUUUAUCAUGAGGAUAAUAGAGCUCUAGUGAUGUGUGGGGAGCAAGUGAUAUGUCAGUCGGGGCAUGUGUUACUUUUUCGUGCUCAUUUGUUGGUGUCACAAGGUAAAGUUAGUAAUUUCUGAUGAAAACAUCAUGCUUACCAGUACAACAAAAAAACUGAAGGAAAUGAGCCAAGAAAUGGUUUCAAACAUUCAGUAUUACGGAACAGCUACAUGUAUAUGUGCGCUGACUGUAAACCUUAGCAGGUGACACCUUGUCAACCUUUGACCUUUGAACCAUCCCGCAAGGAUGACUGACAGCUGAACUGCCCUCCUUGGCUGAGUGCUGGCCCGUGCUGACAGGUGUUAACAAGUCAAAUGCCUGACAAUCACAAUGAUCUACGAAAAGCCCCCAGGACAACAACAGCAGUCAGGUAGUUAUUUACUGUGUUAAAGACAAGACCGAUUUCAUACCUUCUUCCAUUCAGAUCUUCUAUUAGAUUAAAUCACUACUUUGUAAACUGUCCCUGCUCUGACACUCAGAAUAACUAUCAAAAUAUAAUAAAAUAAACUUAAAUGCA